GGUCUGCUACUAAGGUAGUGGCGUCGCCUGCAAAGCGACGCAGCUGGGUUCGACUCCCAGGUGGGCCUC
rnacentral:tRNA from 1 species